UGGGUGUAGCUCAGUGGUAGAGCACUGCCCAGCAUGUCAGAGCCCUGGGUUCCACCCCCAGCACCACAA
rnacentral:tRNA from 1 species